rnacentral:rRNA from 1 species
GGUGCUGCAUGGCUGUCGUCAGCUCGUGUCGUGAGAUGUUGGGUUAAGUCCCGCAACGAGCGCAACCCUUAAGCUUAGUUGCCAUCAUUAAGUUGGGCACUCUAGGUUGACUGCCGGUGACAAACCGGAGGAAGGUGGGGAUGACGUCAAAUCAUCAUGCCCCUUAUGAUUUGGGCUACACACGUGCUACAAUGGACAAUACAAAGGGCAGCUAAACCGCGAGGUCAUGCAAAUCCCAUAAAGUUGUUCUCAGUUCGGAUUGUAGUCUGCAACUCGACUACAUGAAGCUGGAAUCGCUAGUAAUCGUAGAUCAGCAUGCUACGGUGAAUACGUUCCCGGGUCUUGUACACACC